GAUGAACGCUGACAGAAUGCUUAACACAUGCAAGUCAACUGUGGCGGACGGGUGAGUAACGCGUAAAGAAGUUGCCUACCGGAUAGGGACAACAUUUGGAAACGAAUGCUAAUACCUGAUACUGUGAGAGAGCUUUGCGUCCCAUUAGCUAGUUGGUGAGGUAACGGCUCACCAUGGCGAGGAUGGGUAGCCGGCCUGAGAUGGUGAUCGGCCACAAGGGGACUGGGACACGGCCCUUACUCCUACGGGGGGCAGCAGUGGGGAAUAUUGGACAAUGGACCAAAGUCUGAGCCAGCAAUUCGGUGUGCACGAUGAGGUUUUCGGAAUGUAAAGUGCUUUCAGUUGGGAAGCGGUACCAACAGAAGAAGUGACGGCUAAAUACGUGCCAGCAGCCGCGGUAAUUC
rnacentral:rRNA from 1 species